GAUGAACGCUGGCGGCGUGCCUAACACAUGCAAGUCGAGCGAACAGACGAGGAGCUUGCGCCCUUGACGUUAGCGGCGGACGGGUGAGUGACACGUGGAUCAGCUACCUAUAAGACGGGGAUAACUACGGAAAACCGGAUCUACUACCGGCUAAUAUAUUGAACCGCAUGGUUCAAUAGUGAUACGCGCCUUUGCUGUCACUAAUAGCUGGAUCCGCGCCGCAUUAGCUAGUUGGUAAGGUAACGGCUUACCAAGGCUACGAUGCGUAGCCGACCUGAGGGGAUGAUCAGCCACACUGGAACUGAGACACGGUCCAGAGUCCUACGGGAGGCAGCAGUGGGGAAUAUUCGGCAAUGGGCGCAAGCCUGAUGCAGCAACACCGCGUGAGUGAUGAAGGUCUUCGGCUCGUAAAGCCCUGUUGUUGGGGAAGAACAGAUGCGCACGGAUCCCCGCCCGUUUUGACGGUACCUAAUCAGUAAGCCACGGCUAACUACGUG
rnacentral:rRNA from 1 species